AUGGAAAUUACAGUGAUCUGUAUGAACACAUUUAAUGUGCGAUAAACUUGGUUUCCACCCUCAGGUCUACUCUCAGGUAUUAUCAGUGAUAUGCGUAAUCAUUUGUUAUUCGGGUCCUACUGUGAUACAUGGGACUAGAGAUACUUAGAACACUGCUUCUCUUAUGUGUCUAAUCCACUGGAUGUCCUGCUCAGCAUCACUAUGAAAGGACAUUUUUUAAGUACCCUUGAACAUCAUAUUGAGCACCCCUGGGGUUUCCAGACCAGCACCCCAGGUUGAGAACAUCUGUAGUAGAUGCAUCGUCCUAACUAGCAAUUCUUCUAAUAGAACACCUCAUAUAUAUGAUGUCUUUCUCAAGUUUUAGAUAAAGGAUGAAUAGGAUAUAUGCCGCAGUUCAUCAAGAAACACGCACAUUGGGUGAACCCCCGCCUACUUCUAAGAAAUCUCUAUCCCUUUUAUAUAAUAUUCACUCCAAUAAAACAUAUACCACUGUUA